rnacentral:rRNA from 1 species
UACGUAGGGUGCGAGCGUUGUCCGGAAUUACUGGGCGUAAAGAGCUCGUAGGUGGUUUGUCGCGUUGUUCGUGAAAACUCACAGCUUAACUGUGGGCGUGCGGGCGAUACGGGCAGACUGGAGUACUGCAGGGGAGACUGGAAUUCCUGGUGUAGCGGUGGAAUGCGUGAGAUAUCUGGAGGAACACCGGUGGCGAAGGCGGCAUCCUGGACCAACACUGACGCUGAGGAGCGAAAGCCAGGGGAGCAAAGCGGG